UAAGGAAUCUUAGACAAUGGGGGAAACCCUGAUCUAGCCAUGCCGCGUGAGCGAUGAAGGCCUUAGGGUUGUAAAGCUCUUUCAGUGGGGAAGAUAAUGGCGGUACCCACAGAAGAAGCCCCGGCUAACUCCGUGCCAGCAGCCGCGGUAAUACGGAGGGGGCUAGCGUUGUUCGGAAUUACUGGGCGUAAAGCGCACGUAGGCGGACUGGAAAGUCAGAGGUGAAAUCCCAGGGCUCAACCUUGGAACU
rnacentral:rRNA from 1 species